rnacentral:rRNA from 1 species
AAGCCAAGCUUGCUUGGUGGAUCAGUGGCGAACGGGUGAGUAACACGUGAGCAACCUGCCCUGGACUCUGGGAUAAGCGCUGGAAACGGCGUCUAAUACUGGAUAUGAGACGUGAUCGCAUGGUCGUGUUUGGAAAGAUUUUUCGGUCUGGGAUGGGCUCGCGGCCUAUCAGCUUGUUGGUGAGGUAAUGGCUCACCAAGGCGUCGACGGGUAGCCGGCCUGAGAGGGUGACCGGCCACACUGGGACUGAGACACGGCCCAGACUCCUACGGGAGGCAGCAGUGGGGAAUAUUGCACAAUGGGCGAAAGCCUGAUGCAGCAACGCCGCGUGAGGGAUGACGGCCUUCGGGUUGUAAACCUCUUUUAGCAGGGAAGAAGCGAAAGUGACGGUACCUGCAGAAAAAGCGCCGGCUAACUACGUGCCAGCAGCCGCGGUAAUACGUAGGGCGCAAGCGUUAUCCGGAAUUAUUGGGCGUAAAGAGCUCGUAGGCGGUUUGUCGCGUCUGCUGUGAAAUCCCGAGGCUCAACCUCGGGCCUGCAGUGGGUACGGGCAGACUAGAGUGCGGUAGGGGAGAUUGGAAUUCCUGGUGUAGCGGUGGAAUGCGCAGAUAUCAGGAGGAACACCGAUGGCGAAGGCAGAUCUCUGGGCCGUAACUGACGCUGAGGAGCGAAAGGGUGGGGAGCAAACAGGCUUAGAUACCCUGGUAGUCCACCCCGUAAACGUUGGGAACUAGUUGUGGGGACCAUUCCACGGUUUCCGUGACGCAGCUAACGCAUUAAGUUCCCCGCCUGGGGAGUACGGCCGCAAGGCUAAAACUCAAAGGAAUUGACGGGGACCCGCACAAGCGGCGGAGCAUGCGGAUUAAUUCGAUGCAACGCGAAGAACCUUACCAAGGCUUGACAUAUACGAGAACGGGCCAGAAAUGGUCAACUCUUUGGACACUCGUAAACAGGUGGUGCAUGGUUGUCGUCAGCUCGUGUCGUGAGAUGUUGGGUUAAGUCCCGCAACGAGCGCAACCCUCGUUCUAUGUUGCCAGCACGUAAUGGUGGGAACUCAUGGGAUACUGCCGGGGUCAACUCGGAGGAAGGUGGGGAUGACGUCAAAUCAUCAUGCCCCUUAUGUCUUGGGCUUCACGCAUGCUACAAUGGCCGGUACAAAGGGCUGCAAUACCGUGAGGUGGAGCGAAUCCCAAAAAGCCGGUCCCAGUUCGGAUUGAGGUCUGCAACUCGACCUCAUGAAGU